CGUUAAGUCAAAGUCAAAUGGAUAUCUCUAGAGUGGCCACUGCUGCAGCUAAUUUUGCUAAAAGAAGGCAAGGAAUUUAGUAGUUACUACUUGGGUAAUUCGGGCAACCUCAGGGUGGCCCAGGUAAAGUUUAGAGCAUGAGGACAACCUGCAUGCUGUUAUACGAGGAAUACUUUGAAGAACAAAGUUUCAUCAUGCUGUUUUUGCAGGGAUGGAGGCAUCUCUCCUUUGUAAAAUGAAGCAAGGACUCAGAAGACAAGCUGUUAAAAAGACAUUUUCUCAAAUACUGAGUACACACUUUGCCUGGGAACCACAGUAGCUGCGGCCCCAGCUGACAGACACCAGUGGCCUAUGCAAUGGGAACAAAGGCUGGAAA